rnacentral:rRNA from 1 species
GACGAACGCUGGCGGCGUGCUUAACACAUGCAAGUCGAACGGACAGGCCCUGCUUUUGUGGGGUGCUCGAGUGGCGAACGGGUGAGUAACACGUGAGUAACCUGCCAUUGACUUUGGGAUAACUUCAGGAAACUGGGGCUAAUACCGGAUAGGAGCUCCUGCUGCUUGGUGGGGGUUGGAAAGUUUCGGUGGUUGGGGAUGGACUGGCGGCUUAUCAGCUUGUUGGGUGGGUAGUGGAUUACCAAAGCAUUGACGGGUAGCCGGCCUGCGAGGGUGGCCGGCCACAUUGGGACGGGGAUGAGGCCCAGACUACUACGGGAGGCAGCAGUGGGGAAUAUUGCACAAUGGGCGGAAGCCUGAUGCAGCAACGCCGCGUGCGGGAUGACGGCCGUCGGGUUGUAAACCGCUUUCGCCUGUGACGAAGCGUGAGUGACGGUAAUGGGUAAAGAAGCACCGGCUAACUACGUG